ACAGUUCUUAGCCGAACGGUUAUCAUGACAGACUCAAAAUCUGAAGGAUCACCAGAACAGACUUUAAAUCUGAUGGGCUACCGCAACAGAAUUGAAAUCUGUUGGUGUAGGUUCGAAACCUGCCGAAUGUC